rnacentral:sRNA from 1 species
GCAUUUGCAAAUUCAGGUGCCGGGUUUAGCACCCCGUUGAGAUCAUCGCGACAGAAAUGACACGCCGCGAGCGUGUUUUCU